CAUGAAUGGAUUCCAUUUCAAGAGCACAACUAAACACGGGCAUUCAGAUUCUGUGGAGGUGGGGACCAGGAGGAGCUUGAACCUGGGUCCUUGCGAGCUCAACCAAGACUACAUUUUAUCUUCAAAAUGUGUGACACAUGAUGGGAGUACCUGUCUCACUCCAUCCUCAGACCUGUGCUCCCCCCACCGCCACACUCUUGGUAACUUCAGAUCUGCAUAGACAAAAAGACACCAAGUUGCAGAUGCUACCAUCAUGCCAACCUGACUUCCCUGGGCAGACAACUUCAUCAAUGUGUCCUGUAACCCCACCUGCCCAGAGAUCUACCCAACUGGGAAAAGACAGAAACAGGUUGGGGGAAUGGAUCCACGUGUCAAUGCCUAUGUCCAGUGGAGACCUUCCACCUUCUGCAUCCCGUAAAGAUCUUUGGUCCAUAAGUCCAGAAGGGUAAAGAAUAGGGAAGCUUCCAAUGGAGGGGAUGAGAUGCAGAACUCUGGUGGUGGGAACUGUAUGGAAGCGUACCCCUCUUAUCCCACAAUGAUUUAAUAAUGAUUGAUCUUAUCAAUCAUUAUUAAAUCACUAA